rfam:Microcoleus chthonoplastes PCC 7420 scf_1103659003791 genomic scaffold, whole genome shotgun sequence.
GGGCGGAUGGCGAAAUUGGUAGACGCACCACACUCAAAAUGUGGCGACCUCUGGUCGUGAGAGUUCGAGUCUCUCUCCGCCCA